rnacentral:rRNA from 1 species
GUGCCAGCCGCCGCGGUAAUACCGGCAGCCCAAGUGAUGGCCGCUGUUAUUGGGCCUAAAGCGUCCGUAGCUGGCCGACCAAGUCUCCCGGGAAAUCCACCCGCCCAACGGGUGGGCGUCCGGUAGAAACUGGCCGGCUUGGAACCGGAAGGCUCAGAGAGUACGUCCGGGGUAGGAGUGAAAUCCCAUAAUCCCGCACGGACCACCGAUGGCGAAAGCACUUCGAGAAAACGGAUCCGACAGUGAGGGACGAAAGCUAAGAUCGCGAACCGGAUUAGAAACCCGGGUAGUCC